GUCCAGGGGCGGGAAUCGAACCCACAACCUCCUGCUUACCGGGCAGGUGCCAUGUCCACUAGGCUACCCUGGA
rnacentral:tRNA from 1 species